GAUGAACGCUGGCGGCGUGCCUAAUACAUGCAAGUCGAGCGAACAGAUAAGGAGCUUGCUCCUUUGACGUUAGCGGCGGACGGGUGAGUAACACGUGGAUAACCUACCUAUAAGACUGGGAUAACUUCGGGAAACCGGAGCUAAUACCGGAUAACAUAUUGAACCGCAUGGUUCAAUAGUGAAAGGCGGCUUUGCUGUCACUUAUAGAUGGAUCCGCGCCGUAUUAGCUAGUUGGUAAGGUAACGGCUUACCAAGGCAACGAUACGUAGCCGACCUGAGAGGGUGAUCGGCCACACUGGAACUGAGACACGGUCCAGACUCCUACGGGAGGCAGCAGUAGGGAAUCUUCCGCAAUGGGCGAAAGCCUGACGGAGCAACGCCGCGUGAGUGAUGAAGGUCUUCGGAUCGUAAAACUCUGUUAUCAGGGAAGAACAAAUGUGUAAGUAACUGUGCACAUCUUGACGGUACCUGAUCAGAAAGCCGCGGCUAACUACGUG
rnacentral:rRNA from 1 species